rnacentral:tRNA from 1 species
GUUCCUGUAGUUGAAUAACAACAGUGGUUUUUCAAGUCAUCAGUCUUAGUUAGAGUCUAGGCAGGGACC